GAUGAACGCUGGCGGCGUGCCUAACACAUGCAAGUCGAACGAAGCACCUUACCUGAUUCUUCGGAUGAAAGUUUGGUGACUGAGUGGCGGACGGGUGAGUAACGCGUGGGUAACCUGCCCUGUACAGGGGGAGAACAGCUGGAAACGGCUGCUAAUACCGCAUAAGCGCACGAGGAGACAUCUCCUUGUGUGAAAAACUCCGGUGGUACAGGAUGGGCCCGCGUCUGAUUAGCUGGUUGGCAGGGUAACGGCCUACCAAGGCAACGAUCAGUAGCCGGUCUGAGAGGAUGAACGGCCACAUUGGAACUGAGACACGGUGCGAACUCCUACGGGAGGCAGCCGUGGGGAAUAUUGCACAAUGGGGGAAGCCAUGAAGCAGCAACGCCGGGUGAGUGAAGAAGUAUUGAGGUAUGUAAAGCUCUAUAAGCAGGGAAGAUAAUGACGGUACCUGAAGAAGAAGCUCCGGCUAAAUACGUG
rnacentral:rRNA from 1 species